GGCUCCUGAGGGCGCAAUAAUUAACUUGAGGUUAAUUAAUUGUUGUGGUAAUUAAGGGAUCUAAUAUUUUUUAGAGAAAAGUCGUAACAGCAGCAAUUACGCUGUACACUCAUUGGAUGAGUCUGACCAUGAGGAAGGAAUCGGAGGAGCCUCAUCACCACCUUUCUGGCAUCAAAGUGAGAGAGGUGAUUACGAAGCUGCAGGCAACUUCAUGGUCCCACCCUCAUCAAGCUCUCCAGAUUUCUCACGUCUUAUACUAAGAGAGCUUCGCUUUGUAAAGAAGCAACUGAAAACAAUAACCAAAAAGCUGUUGGAAAGAGAAGAACCUUGCGAGC